rnacentral:rRNA from 1 species
AUUGAACGCUGGCGGCAGGCCUAACACAUGCAAGUCGAACGAGUGGCGGACGGGUGAGUAAUGUCUGGGAAACUGCCUGAUGGAGGGGGAUAACUACUGGAAACGGUAGCUAAUACCGCAUACCAUCAGAUGUGCCCAGAUGGGAUUAGCUUGUUGGUGGGGUAACGGCUCACCAAGGCGACGAUCCAUAGCUGGUCUGAGAGGAUGACAGCCCAAACUGAACCUGAGACACGGUCCAGACUCCUACGGGAGGCAGCAGUGGAGAAUAUUGCACAAUGGGCGCAAGCCUGAUGCAGCCAUGCCGCGUGUAUGAAGAAGGCCUUCGGGUUGUAAAGUACUUUCUUCUGGGAGGCGUUACCCGCAGAAGAAGCACCGGCUAACUCCGUGCCAGCAGCCGCGGUAAUU